AGAAUCAACGCUGGCGGCGUGCCUAACACAUGCAAGUCGAACGCGAAAGCCCCGCAAGGGGUCAGUAGAGUGGCAAACGGGUGAGUAACACGUGGGUGAUCUGCCUCAGAGUGGGGGAUAACGACCCGAAAGGGUCGCUAAUACCGCAUAACAUCCUGCCUUUGGAUAGGUGGAGAUCAAAGCUAGGGAUCGCAAGACCUGGCGCUUGGAGAGGAGCCCGCGGCCGAUUAGCUAGUUGGUGAGGUAAUGGCCCACCAAGGCGACGAUCGGUA
rnacentral:rRNA from 1 species